rnacentral:rRNA from 1 species
AGUGAACGCUGGCGGCAGGCCUAAUACAUGCAAGUCGAACGGACACACAGUAAGAGUUCGCCUUUACGGGUGGCGAGUGGCGGAUGGGUGAGGAGUAGAUCGGCUUCCACUAAUACGUGGAGGACUACGGAGGAAAACUUACGCUACUACCGCAUAUGACCUACGGGUGGAAGCAGGGGAUAUUCGGAGUUUGCGUGUCAGAAUGAGCCGAUGUCGGAUUAGCUAGUUGGGAGGGUAACGGCCCACCAAGGCAACGAUCCGUAGCGGAUCUGAGAGGAUGAUCGGCCACACUGGAACUGAGACACGGUCCAGACUCCUACGGGAGGCAGCAGUAGGGAAUAUUGGGCAAUGGGCGCAAGCCUGAUCCAGCCAUGCCGCGUGAGUGAAGAAGGCCUUCGGAUCGUAAAGCUCUUUUAUUAGGAAAGAACAACUGCGUAUUUAAACCCGGCCGUUCUGACGGUACCUAAAGAGAAAGCACCGGCUAACUUCGUG